UUCGGAUGAAUCAUUUGUGACUGAGCGGCGGACGGGUGAGUAACGCGUGAGUAACCUGCCUCAUACAGGGGAAUAACAGUUAGAAAUGACUGCUAAUGCCGCAUAAGCGCACAGGGCCGCAUGGCCCGGUGUGAAAAACUCCGGUGGUAUGAGAUGGACUCGCGUCUGAUUAGCUAGUUGGCAGGGUAACGGCCUACCAAGGCAACGAUCAGUAGCCGGCCUGAGAGGGUGAACGGCCACAUUGGGACUGAGACACGGCCCAAACUCCUACGGGAGGCAGCAGUGGGGAAUAUUGCACAAUGGGGGAAACCCUGAUGCAGCGACGCCGCGUGAGUGAAGAAGUAUUUCGGUAUGUAAAGCUCUAUCAGCAGGGAAGAAAAUGACGGUACCUGACUAAGAAGCCCCGGCUAACUACGUGCCAGCAGCCGCGGUAAUACGUAGGGGGCAAGCGUUAUCCGGAUUUACUGGGUGUAAAGGGAGCGUAGACGGCUUUGCAAGUCUGACGUGAAACUCCGGGGCUCAACUCCGGAACUGCGUUGGAAACUGUAAGGCUUGAGUGCCGGAGAGGUAAGCGGAAUUCCUAGUGUAGCGGUGAAAUGCGUAGAUAUUAGGAGGAACACCAGUGGCGAAGGCGGCUUACUGG
rnacentral:rRNA from 1 species